GACGAACGCUGGCGGCGUGCUUAACACAUGCAAGUCGAACGAUGAACCCGGGGCUUGCUCCGGCGGAUUAGUGGCGAACGGGUGAGUAACACGUGAGUAACCUGCCCUUGACUCUGGGAUAACUGCGGGAAACUGUAGCUAAUACCGGAUACGACCCUCGGCGGCAUCGCCAGGGGGUGGAAAGAAUUUCGGUCAAGGAUGGACUCGCGGCCUAUCAGCUAGUUGGUGAGGUAACGGCUCACCAAGGCGACGACGGGUAGCCGGCCUGAGAGGGUGACCGGCCACACUGGGACUGCGACACGGCCCAGACUCCUACGGGAGGCAGCAGUGGGGAAUAUUGCACAAUGGGCGCAAGCCUGAUGCAGCAACGCCGCGUGAGGGAUGACGGCCUUCGGGUUGUAAACCUCUUUUAGUAGGGAAGAAGCGAAAGUGACGGUACCUGCAGAAAAAGCACCGGCUAACUACGUGCCAGCCGCCGCCGUAA
rnacentral:rRNA from 1 species